rnacentral:rRNA from 1 species
GCCUGCUUAACAAAAACAUAGUUUAAAGAAAAAGAUUUUAGAUAAAUUCUGCUCAAUGAGUAAAUUAAAUAGCUGCAGUAAAUUAACUGUACUAAGGUAGCAUAAUAAGUUGCUUUAUAAUUAAAAGCUUGAAUGAAAGAAAUAAUGUGAAACAAGCUUUUUAAACUAAAGUAGUAAAAAUUAAUAUUUAAGUGAAAAAUCUUAAAUAAAAUCAAAAGACAAGAAGACCCUUUAGAACUUUACAAAUUAACUUAAUUUCAUUUGGUUAAUUUGUUAGAUUGGGGAGAUUUUUAAAUAAAUGAAUCUUUAGAUAUAAAAAAAUGAUUUAAAUCAAAUUAAAUUAUCCAAAUAUGAAAUAAAACAAGUUACCUAAGGGAUAACAGCGCAAAAUUUUUGAGAAGUUCUCAUUUACAAAAUAAAUUGCGACCUCGAUGUUGGAU